rnacentral:lncRNA from 1 species
AUGCAAAGUAUCUCGGCUGAAACUACGAAUAACCUCCAAAAUGAUGUCGUGAGGAAAAUCCACCAUUACAUCAUGGAUCCGUUCAGGGUAUCAAGGAUAGGAGCUGUUACAAUACAGCGCAUCAUUCCUGAAGCGUCCAAACAGAGUAGCAGUCACACUCCUGUGUUCUCGAAUUUUAGCACUCAGAAUGAUUCGGAGAUCGAAAAUGAGCAAGGCAUCAAAACAGGAACGGCAGCUGAUCGAACUGCAGCUGACAUGGAAGUUGACGAAGAUAAGCCAGUUCCCAACACUUUCUUCCCUGAAGAAAGUGAUACGAUGGGACCAGGCUUCGGAAGAAUGGAUCCAGAGCAGUCCUUCCAAGGCGAGGCUAGAAUGGUGGAAGGCUCGUUCAAAAUUGAAAAUCAUCCUGAAACGCUACAAAACCAGUCUCCAAAAUUUAGGCCAGGUGAUGAAAGUGGGAGCGUUUCAGAACCAAAGCCUGAAAGCGACAGAACUAUGGUAGGAAAUGAAAAUGAGUCCAAUGACCGGUUGGAAGUCUCAAUGGAUUCUCGAACUUCAGGAGGCGGGGAAGAAGCCAGUAAUUCUUCUAAUAAGGCUGAUAGUAAGAUAACUCAAAAUAAUUUUUCCGAAGACAUCAAUAAAAAAUUAGGUAGAUUUGGUUUUAGUGUAAGCGUAAGUGAAGUAAAAAUUCCAUCCUCAGAUCAGACCUCAAUCGAUGAAGCUCUAGACGAUGAAGCUCUAGACGAUGAGGCACCAGACGAUGAAGGAUGUGAAGAUCCUAAUGUAGAGGAGCCGAAAGACGAAGACGGUCUUGAAUCCAUCGAAAACUUGGUUUCAUCUCUUAGCGAGCAGUCGGAUCAGUUUAAGGAGCUGAAGUCGAACGUAGAGUUUUUGGAUGCGUCUGACUUCAAGAAGGAAAUAUUUAGUGAGGAUCUAAACAGUGAAACCGCAAAAAGUGAUGUCAGAAAAGAGCCCAACCAGAUGGACGAUGAGCAAAAAAUGGAUGUAGCUAAUGACGACGUGAAAGUAAAGAAAGAAGACGAUGAUAAAGAGGGAGAUGAGGCAUCAGAAGAAGACGAUGAAACUGAAGGAGAUGGUGAUGGCGGAGAUGAAAAAGAUCUUGAUGAUAAAGAUUCUGACAAGCCUAAAAAGAAGCAUUCCAAGAAAAAGAAAACCAAAAAAUCACCCAGUAAAGGUAAGUUUAAUCCCUCUGUCUCAAUUUAUUUAGUUCAUGUUUGAUCCCUCUGUCUCAAUUUAUUUAGUUCAUGUUUGAUCAAAU